rnacentral:rRNA from 1 species
UAGGCUAAUAAGUGACGGUACCGUUACCAGAAAGGGACGGCUAACUACGUGCCAGCAGCCGCGGUAAUACGUAGGUCCCGAGCGUUAUCCGGAAUUAUUGGGCGUAAAGGGCACGUAGGCGGACAAAUAAGUUUGAUGUCAAAUAUGAUGGCUCAACCAUCAAGAGGCGUUGAAAACUGUUUAUCUAGAAUCUCGGAGAGGUAAGUGGAAUUCCAUGUGUAGCGGUGGAAUGCGUAGAUAUAUGGAGGAACACCAAUGGCGAAGGCAGCUUACUGGACGAAGAUUGACGCUGAGGUGCGAAAGCGUGGGUAGCAAACAGGAUUAGAUACCCUGGUAG